UACGGAGGGUGCGAGCGUUGUCCGGAAUCAUUGGGCGUAAAGGGCGCGUAGGUGGCCCGGUCAGUCUUUGGUGAAAGCGCGGGGCUCAACCCUGCGUCGGCCAGGGAUACUGCCGCAGCUCGAGCACUGUAGAGGCAGGCGGAAUUCCGGGUGUAGCGGUGGAAUGCGUAGAGAUCCGGAAGAACACUGGUGGCGAAGGCGGCCUGCUGGGCAGUUUAGCUGACACUGAGGCGCGACAGCGUGGGGAGCAAACAGG
rnacentral:rRNA from 1 species